UAACGCGUGAGGAACCUGCCUCAAAGAGGGGGACAACAGUUGGAAACGACUGCUAAUACCGCAUAAGCCCACGGGUCGGCAUCGACCAGAGGGAAAAGGAGCAAUCCGCUUUGAGAUGGCCUCGCGUCCGAUUAGCUAGUUGGUGAGGUAACGGCCCACCAAGGCAACGAUCGGUAGCCGGACUGAGAGGUUGAACGGCCACAUUGGGACUGAGACACGGCCCAGACUCCUACGGGAGGCAGCAGUGGGGAAUAUUGCACAAUGGGGGAAACCCUGAUGCAGCGACGCCGCGUGGAGGAAGAAGGUCUUCGGAUUGUAAACUCCUGUUGUUGAGGAAGAUAAUGACGGUACUCAACAAGGAAGUGACGGCUAACUACGUGCCAGCAGCCGCGGUAAAACGUAGGUCACAAGCGUUGUCCGGAAUUACUGGGUGUAAAGGGAGCGCAGGCGGAAAGACAAGUUGGAAGUGAAAUCUAUGGGCUCAACCCAUAAACUGCUUUCAAAACUGUUUUUCUUGAGUAGUGCAGAGGUAGGCGGAAUUCCCGGUGUAGCGGUGGAAUGCGUAGAUAUCGGGAGGAACACCAGUGGCGAAGGCGGCCUACUGGGCACCAACUGACGCUGAGGCUCGAAAGUGUGGGUAGCAAACAGGAUUAGAUACCCUGGUAGUCCACACCGUAAACGAUGAUUACUAGGUGU
rnacentral:rRNA from 1 species